GAGUGUGUGCGGCCACAGCCCGAGCCAAAGAGCUGUGGAGCACUCCCCCAGCCAUGUUGGGGACAAGCUGUUCCCUCUCCCCGGGUCCCGCCUUCGUAGCACAGGUGCCUUUGCCCUGUCCCUGACUUCACUCAACGAGAUUAAGGAGGCUUCUUCAGAGAGAAAGAUGUAGAACAGAUGAAGGAUACAAUCUUUAGUCCCCAAUGCCAAAAUAUUCUAAUUCUACUGUUUCCUUGGACCUGCAAAUCUUCUCUGGGUAAGGGUCAAAGAUACUCUCAGGACUCAAAGAAUGCUUCCCUGUGAGGAAAAGAAGAAUGAUAUCCCAAGACCCGAUUUAGCAGCUCUUAACACUGCUCAGCUCACUUUCUCCACUAGAAUGACAAUUCACUAUUCAUCAUUCCCAUUAUCUGUCUUUUCCCGUAAAGAUCCUGAGAACUCCUCCUCCUUCAAAGACCCAUCAGCUUGGUAACUCCCAUCAAUAAAUGAGUGUUGGAUUAAAUCGACUGAACUGAAUCACAGGUCUCCAGACGCUGGUCUACAAACUGACUUCCCCAUCUCCUGUCUCUUGUUUGUUCUGCUUGAAAGAAAACUGGAAAUCAGAGAGAAAAUAUUUGAGAAGUUCCUAAGUCUCAUACAGAAAAACAAUCAAAAUGUAUUGAUGCCAUUUGGGGUCAAAGCUGGGAAGCCACUUAAUGUUUUGGAGGAUAAACAAUGAGUAGCAAUGGAUAAGCAUUUGCAAUAGAGAUUGGCAUCAGUCAGAGCUUUGUUCAAAUUCUGAUCUAAACCAUGAUCAGCUAUGUGACCUUGGAUAUAUCACUUCUCUGGCCUCAUUUUAUGGACCUGGAAAUGGGAUAAUAAAUUUAUGCCCCCCAGGGUUGUGGUUGAGGAUUAAAAUAGUGAAGGUACAUUUCUGGAUGGAAGAAUGCAUUCAGUUCUUGCUUGUUGGUGUCUAAGUAAACAGGACUGGCUUCUAAUUCUUAAAGAUGUACCUGCAUUUAGUGUAUCAGUAAGCACUAUUAAGAAAUGAAUGAAGACAUUUGUAUUAUGUAAUAAAGUGAAAUCAACAGUGCUAAAUCUUAGUUUAAGAUAGCUUAUGUCACUUCAUGAUUUGUAUCAUGUUUUCUCUUAUAGAAACAAAGAAUGCUAAUACAAUUUUUUUUUUAUGAUGGAUGUGACUCAUUGACCUUCCUUAUGUUUGGAGUAAGGAUAUUUAGAUGGAAACUGUAAUUCAUGUAUCAGGAGCCUUUUAUAGAAAUCUUGAAUGGAUAUUGUGUUUUAAAAUAUAAAGUUAUUAGAAUGUUUUCUGGGCAUUCUGUUUUCUACUUGUACCCAUUAAAUUCUGUCCAUUCAUGAUAAGCACUUUAUUUGGUUUCUAUCACAUCUUUCUUACAGGAAAGCCUUACGAUAUCUUGUGUAGCUAAUGACACACUCAAAUUAUAUACAGAAUUAAGUGAUAGGAAAUAUUUCUAAAAGACUGCCUUUAUGAAACUGCUAAUAAGUUGAUGUCUGUUUCCAUUAAUGACCUGAAAAACAAGUGAAGCCUGUCGCAUUUCAAACAAAAUUGUGUUAAUUACAAUAUUUUUUUCUAUUUUGUGCAGAGAUUUCCUUUCAGUUAUCAUGUAUUUAUGAUUAAAGAUGUGCAGAUCCACUUUGAUAUGUGCAAAAUCUUGUUACAAAUAUUUGCUGGGCAUUCUUUUGGAACCACGAAAUUCAAAUUAUUUAAGGCAAAUUUUGAAGAGUGUAUUCUUAAUAGGGAAACUCUUAGCCCUUCUCCUUAAUGCAAUUCUUUUUAUUCAAAUAAUGGGGAUGAGUCUUAUGGUAUUGUCCUGUUAGCUUCUUAACAAUAUUUUUUACUUCUUUCAUAGUGACUGCAGGAUUAUUCCAUAAAUAUUAUUGUUUCACAUUUGAUGUUUAGGACUGAAGCUUAAUAUUGAUGACAUUUCUCAUCUUCUGCACAUGCAUGUCCCUGCAUUCACGGUUCCAAUUUAAGCUGAGUAUAAAUACAAGAAGGAAAAAUAAUGUUGUAGGAGAUAGAAUUAGACUUGCCUGGUUGAUUGUGUUGGGGAUGCAGCCGCAGCUCUCUGUAGCAUGGCUUGCCACUCAGGGAACCUCCAUCAUGAGAUUAAAGUGCUUUUUCAAGCUGUCUGAUGAGGGACUUUUAACUCACAAUGUCUAGGUAUUGCAAUGGCUUCUUCUCGUCACGGUUGCUAAAAACACACAGCCUUUUGUCAGGCUACAGAAUGUUUUAAUUCCCAAUGCAAAUCUCGGUGACAUGUUUGUUACGCUAGCGGAUAUACCUGACAGAUCCUAUUCUGAGUUUUCCAGGAAAAAACACACGUCAGCACGUUUGUGGGAUAUCAAAUCUUUUAUGUGAGCAUGCCUUUUAGUAAUUGGGGAAACCAUUUCAAACUAGAGUUGAUUUGAUAUAAAAAUACCAUGGAAGUUGGUGUUUGUAUAAUUCCUAGCGUAAGUACAUUUGAACAGAUCUUGUUGUUAGUUACAAGAAUGGUUUUAUGGUUUGCAUGAAGCGCUAAAUAAGAGUCUGUGAAAAUAAAAAUAAUGCUUCCAUCACACCUUUGCUAACCUUUAGAAAUAUACUCAUUGAGUUUUACAGUUACACAUAUGUGUACAAAAUGUGUAAAGAAUUAUGGUACAUGCACUCAAAUAAAUAUAAAACAGAACAAUUAAAUACACAUGUUUCUGAAACCAUAAAUCAUAGGUGUUUGCAGAAGUAUUCUGAAGUGUAUUUACUAUGCACUACAAAAAUAGAUAUUAAGGAAACUUUCCUUGAGAUUUCAAUUCCAUCAUUUAUUUAUAAUGAGAUACAUUGCCUUUAGCCAACAGAACAUAGAUUCAAAUUCAGGUCACUUGGAUGUAAGGAACCUACCUGAAAUGUUUGGUCACAGUAUUCAAUAACGUUAUGGGCUUGACUGUGUAUGCAGUGUCUCCUGGUAAUAAAGUUUUUUGAGUUUAAAAGCAGAUUUUUAGAUCACAUUACACUGUGUCCCAAAUUCUUCAUUUCUGUUUUUAGAAUUAAAGGAAAGGAAGAUGUGAGAUAUACCCGUUUUGAACUUCUUCAUUAAUUUUGCUUAGUACUGCUACAAAGAUUUUUAAAACAUGCUUCCUCAUUACAAAAUGCUAGUAACUGCAAGGUUUCAGUAAUAUCCUCAAUUCCCCUUCUUUUUAUCCAUUACCACUUGCGUUUGCUUUUUUUCAUUCUUAUAUGUGUCUUUGUUUUGAAUUUAUCAUCUGCAAUGUAGUAUUUGUUAUCUGAGACUAUUCUAUGUAUGAAAAUAUGAGAACUAACAGUAUAAAACUGGGUGAGAAUAGAUUAGAAUUGGGCAUGUAUCCUUUUAAUCUUUUUAUUGAAAAUGCAAGUUGCAUAUUUAGUGCACUUUAAUCUUAUUUGAAUAAAUUGUUAUGUUGGUUCAAUUAAUAUGUUUGGAUUUCCUUGCUCAGGGGCAGAAUUGUGAUAAAGUAUUUAAAUUUCUAUUUGCAGCCCUCACCGUGUGGCAUGUGAAAAGGAGCUUAUCUUGUUUCAAUUUGCAGGCCACCAGAAUCUAUUUUCCUUUUAAUAUAGGUAUAAGAAAGACUAAGCAUCCCGACUUGCUGCAAUUGGUGAGAAUAUUCUUAGACUUUACAAACUUACUGAAAGAGAGUGUUGAAUUGACUAUGGAUCCUCUGCUUUAUUUUGAAUAUUUUUAUUCCUUUGUAAGUUACUAAGGUUAUUUAUAUUAUUCUGCUGAACUAUUUGCUAUUGUGGAGAUUUGGUGAGUCAUUGAAAAAAUGCCUUUUGAGUUGUAUUUUUUCUUUGUUAUUACCAAGAACCUACUGGAGGAGCUCAGGGAUAGCUAUAACUGUGUUAAUGUACUUCUACUUCAGGACCCGGAAAUAAUGUGAGAUCUUGGGAGGGUCAUGUCCACAAUCCGAUUGACAAAGACUGCAUAAGAGCAAGCAACUUCUAGAGAGUUGUGGGCUUGUGGCAUAACAAAAAAUAAAAAAGGGCAAUGGGAGCAGGAAAGGGAGAGAUUUAAAAAAAAAAAUUUAACUGUAAAGGAAACAAAUUUUCCUCUGGGAAACUACUCAGAGUGCAACACAAGCAUAUUUUUCUAAUUAAAUAGAUUACUCUAUGCCUUUGGCACUUAAAAGAAAGUCCUUAGAUUCACAGCCUCCUGAGUUAAACGUAUUUCCCAGGUUAAUUCUCUGGAAAUUAAAUCUGGCACUGUUUUUCGCCACUUUGCUCCCUUUUUUUCUAUUUCCUUUUCUUUUUUCACCUAUGGCUCAUUUCCUUCUCUCUUUUUGAUCCGUCCUCAACUCUUCUACCUGUUGGAGUGAAAUGGAACCAGCUCUGACGUUUCCCCUCCAUCUUUGUCCCUUGAGGCAGAAUGAAUCACUGCUUAGCUUGUAUCCCUGUAAGACUUACUUCAUCCCAUUUCGUGCGUACAGCUCUUCAUUGUCUGUCUCCAACAACAGCUGGUUGCCCACAUGUCCAUUAUGAUUGCAUCAAGGGCAUCUUAGGAACAAAGGUGUCAUUUGUUUCCUGCUGUUCUCCAGUGUUAGACAUACAGUUUUACAUAGAGAAACCACUCGAAGGAGGCUGAACUUGUUUCUGGUUAAACAUUAUCAGCAAAUAAGCCCUUAAAAUCUGUGAAGUGAAGAUUUAUAUUUCUUUUUGAUUUUUAAAUUUAGAAUUUUUUUCCCUUUUUAUAUCUGCCUUCUCAUCUUCUGUUCAUUCACUGAGAUACCCCUAAGUGCCACUACAGAGAAGAGUAGAGAUGUGUGUAUUUGGAGUGUGUCUCCACACAGGACUGUGUAUGGUGUGUGCUGCAGAUGCAGGGGACUCAUUGGUCCCAAGAAAGGAGCUGACGAGAGACUAGGGCUGAGAAAGAAAUUGUAUUGUACUAACAAGCAAUCAUUGGGAAAUCAUUUUAAGACUUUGACAAUAAUUUCCCAGUGGUUGGUUGUCUAGAAAAGGGAAGGAAAAAAAGAAAAAGAAAUAGUGUUUUAUGCUGAAUACCAAAUAAUUCCAUAUGACAAUGCAAAUCAAGUUUGAAUGCCAGAAGCGUAGAAAUUAAAGCCCACUCAGCCAUUAGGUUGUCUGUCUUGAUCAAGAAGGCGUGGAGAUUCGUUGCCUCGGAAAAGCAAUGUGAAGGAAAUGUAGAAAAGGAAUUUGAAGGUGAGAGGCUUAAAAUAAGAGCAUUUUUCAGUUUGUUCCAAAUGAAAGCCAAGGCAAGUCAGUAAUACAGAGCUAAUGUAUCACUAAAAUGUGAUAAACAAAAUGUUAUACCAAGUCCUGCCAUUGAAUACUGGGGAAAUCAUCUUAUAAAAAAAUUAAAAGGAGAAAGCAUUAGGGUACCAAACAGCAUGCCUUUAUGAAAUGGAUCACUUGGAAUUGGGUUGUGGUUUCAUUUUGUAUGACACAUUGGCAUACAUACAUAAAACGUAUUGCAUUGAGUGUUACAACAUGCAAUCCCAAGGUCUCCUUCUUUUGGUUUGUUUUGCAUAAGUGGUGUCUAUGUUUGUGCCUCUACUGAUGGGAAUUCAUAUAUAACCUACUGCAGUGAAUUUUUGAACUGUCUUUUGUGAUGAGCUCCUUUUCAGUACCUAAGAUUUUUUCUUGAGAUUUCUGUGCCAUAAGAGACUUCAAAUGUGCAUAUUAGAGAAUUUCAUUGAGCAAAAAAGCUUGGAUCAAGGUUAGAUAAAGAAAAACAAAACCUUUAGAUUUUUUUCUCUUACAUUUCUUAAACCAAUUAAAAAUGGACACUGGUUUAUUUUAUUAUAUUACGAAGUCUGGGUUCAAAGGAAAAUUUACUGAGAAAAGUAAAUGGAAGCUUUCAAGAUAAAAAAAAAAUGCAGUUUACUAAAAGAUAUACAUUGACUAGAGGUCGAGUGGUUGGAAAGACAUCAAGGCCAUAAUCAGAGACUUAGUUCCAGCAUUAUCUAUUGACCACUCUUUAGGAGACUUGUGGCCACAUGUGGUCAUACCAUAGCAACCUAAUCUUAGAACCAGGGGCAAAAGAACUGUGGGGGGACAAAAAAUCAAAGAGGUAGGCAUUUGGCCUUGUGGUUAGGUGCCCAUAUCCCACAUAGAAGAGUUUGGGUUCCGUUCCUCGCUCUGGCUCCCAAUUGUAGCUUCCUGCCCAUGCAGACCCUGGGAGGCCGUAAGUGAUGGCUCAUGUAGUUGGGUUUUUGCCAGCUCGUUGUCUGCAAUUGGGAAAUAAAUCAGAGGAUGGGAGUUGUGUCUGUCUGCCUGUGUCUCUGCCUCUGGAAUUAAAAAAAAAAAAAAGGCAAGCAAACAAAAACAAAACAAAAAUUCGAUGUCCUUUCUUGGCACCAAGGGGAGGUGAUCCCUGCUUUUGCAUGUGAACUCCGCCGUCUUUUAUUCCACAGUUAAUGGUAUUGAUAAUUCUGUUUCAGCUCAUCUCUGGGAGAGGUUGGUGUCUCUGCUCCAUUUUUUCAGUAAAUCCAAGAGGCUCAGCUCAAGUCGAAGAAACCCUAACAUGAUGGUAGACACUUUUCUUAUUUUUAAUAGGCCAACAAGGUAAUAUAACUUCUUUACAGAGAUGAAUAGCAUUUACUUUACAGAAGUUGCAUAAACAACCUGCUUGCCACCAAGGUUGCUGCAGAUGACUGCACAUCAACUGGGGGAGCCUUGCUCAAGAAUCGCUUCUCCCAAGAAGGCUUCUCUGGCUGCUCUGUUUCAUGAGCUUUCUCCCUGUACUAACAGCCUGUUGUGAUGUGUUUGCUUUUUCUAGCACACAGUUGAUUAUAAAUAACAACACGUCCUUCAUUCAGAGGUCUAAGGCAAAUCGCAUGGCACUCAAUUGCUUGAUUCCAAAGCAGAGGUGCAUUGUCAUAUAAAAAUCAAGGCAGCACUUACUAAAUGCACAGACAUUUACUGAGCUCCUGCUAUACAUCGCACUAUGAGUUAAGUGCUAAGCAUGCAAAGAUGUAUAAGAUCUUUAAGGAGCUUACAUUUUAGUGGGGAGAACAGAUUGAUAAACAGAAAUUUAUUUCUUUAUUUUGUGAUACAUUUAGUUCCAGCUAUAUACACCCAGCGCUGGUGUUGUGUGGAAAUAAAUCUGCUGAUUUUUACUCUGGAUUUGGAAAAUAAUAUCUCCAGGGAAACUUCACUAUAGAUCCUUAUUUCUAGUUUGGAUUUGAAUAAGUGCUUUUUUUUAAACUAGACAAGUAAAAGAAAAGGCAUCCAAUGCAUAGCUACAGAAGUGGGAUACAGCAUAUUGUGUUUAGAAGCUGUAUGGAUUGGUGAAUUACUGAAAAAGAGUUAUAGAGAAUGGCAUUAAUGGAAGGAAAAAAACCUGGGGGAUGAAGUUGAAGAAAGAAUCCAGAGAUUGGUCAUGAAAGGUUUCUCAUGUGAUGCCAGGGAACAGCAGAUUAGAAUUAGCCAAGUCACAGUGAAAGCAGUGAGUGAUGGCAUCUGACAGAGAGGAAGAAGGCAAUACCCUGCACAGCACAGGCAGAAAAAUCUUAGAAAUCCUAAAGCCUGGUGCCACUUAAUGUCCAGACAGAUGGCUUUCCAGAACUCACCAACAACUAUAGAGGCACCAUGCUUGCUUGCACUUCACAGCACAAUGAUUGAAAUGCAGACUGGUGAUCCCAAGUCAUCAAGGAAAGGAAAAAUUAUGUGCAAUAAGCUAUGUUUAUGAAGUCAGGGAAGUGUGUAAUAGAGUUUAGAAUUCAUCAAACAGUGAAUAUGAGAAAAAUGUUGGGUGUUUACAGAUAUGUGUAUUAAUGUAUGAAUCCUCUUAUUCUCCAACAUGGCCAGCUCUGUUAGGCAUUAUUAUGGUCAAUGUUAUCUUUUCAUAUCCAUGUUAGGCUACUUUCACUCUUUGUUGACAGAUGCCUCAUCAUAUACUCCCCUCCACCACUGAGGCCAGUGCUGGGGAUACUUAGUUCCUUAAUCAAUCUUUAAUGAUUGUUUUUUAAACUAUAGUAUACCUCUUCUCUAUUGUCUACCUCUUCUCUAUUGUCUACUGGGUUCUUGGCUGACUCAUUUAUGGGACAUCUCAGGAAGCCACUGAAUUCUUCUAUGGAUUAUAUUACAGAGAAUAAAUCCACUGGCUGUACAUUAUUUUGCAGAAUAAUAUACCUAGGAAGCUGGUUUUGGGAAAAUGACAUAAUACUGGAGAAAGGUGUCAAUUUAGAACUCAGAGAGUCUUGGAUUGGAAUGCUUGCUGCUACUCACUAGGGGUUUAACUCAGCCAAGAUGCAGUCUCCAUGAGCCUCAGUCUUCCUAUAAGAAGAAAAUGGGUACAGAAUCUGCAGAGCACUAAGAAAUAAUGGAUUAUCUUUGAAAUCACAUAACAUGCAGACUAGUACAAGUGAGCAUUCAGUAAAAGUAGCUAUUAAUAUUUUAAAACCAUACUUAAGAACGUUGUAAUUUUUUUAAAGACUUAUUUUAUUUAUUUGAAAUACAGCAUUACAGAGAGAGGUAGAGACAGAGAAAGAGGUCUUCCAUCCGCUGGUUUACUCCCCAGAUGGCCACAACGGCCGGAGCCGUGCUGAUCUGAAGCCAGUAGCCAGGAGCGUCCUCCGAGACUCCCACAUGGCUGCAGGGACCCAAGGACUUGGUCUAUCUUCUACUGCCAUUCCAGGCCAUAGCAGACAGCUGGAUCGGAAGAGGAGCAGCCAGGACUAGAACUGGCGCUCAUACGGGAUGUUGGCGCUUCAGGCCAGGGUGUUAACCUGCUGUGCCACAGUGCUGGCCCCAAGAACGCUGUAUUUUUAAUAGCACAUCUUAAAGGUACAUGAAAUGCUUUUGAGAAAAAAAUCAAAAUAGUGAGAGCAGAUCACCAAACACGAACCCACAGUCUUGUUUUUCUGUUUGUCCCUGAAAUGAAUACCUGGGGCACUUCACCUUGCCCUAGACCAAGCAUUCUUAAAAAUAUUCUGAAACAGGAUUAAAUAUAAUACAUUUUGACUGAUUUUUAAGUAUGAGAAGACUGGUGUAAAAUAAAGAAAGAGAAGAAGCAGACCAGCAAUUUAAAAUGCAACAAUGGGAGCCAAUGGAAAAAGUAGAUAUGUUGGAGCACAGCAAAACUGACAGAGGCUGAAAGGUCUACAGGAGAGGGUAUUGAGAUAUUGACUUUAGAAUCCAUUCU